ensembl:snRNA U6 U6 spliceosomal RNA
GUGCUCGCUUUGGCAGCACAUAUACUAAAAUUGGAACAAUACAGAAAAGAUUAUUAUGGCCCCUGCACAAGAAUGACAUGCAAACUCAUGAAGCAUUCCAUUUUUUU